UACGAACCGUGCGAACGUUGUUCGGAAUCACUGGGCUUAAAGGGCGCGUAGGCGGGCUGACAAGUCUGGGGUGAAAUGCCGCGGCUCAACCGUGGAACUGCCUUAGAUACUGUCGGCCUCGAGGAAGGUAGGGGCAUGCGGAACUGUAGGUGGAGCGGUGAAAUGCGUUGAUAUCUACAGGAACUCCGGUGGCGAAAGCGGCGUGCUGGACCUUUUCUGACGCUGAGGCGCGAAAGCUAGGGGAGCAAACGGG
rnacentral:rRNA from 1 species